GAGGGGGGGGGACACAAUGGGGUGACAGUGACACACAGGUGGCCCCCGUGGUGCUUUGGGGACAGGGAUGGGGGCACAGAAAUGUCCCCAAGUGGUGGCAGUGACACAGGGGUGUCACCGAGGUCCUUUGGGGACAAUGGCGGUGACACGGUGACAAUGGCAGUGGCACAGAAAUGUCCCCAAAGGGUGACAAUGACAUUAAGGUGCCCUCGUGGUCCACUGGGGACAAUGACAGUGACACAGAGGUGUCCCCAAGGUCCAUUGGGGACAAUGGUGACACAGAGAUGUCCCCAAAUGGUGACAAUGACACAGAAAUGUCCCCAAAUGGUGACAAUGACACAGAAAUGUCCCCAAAGGGUGACAAUGACAUUAAGGUGCCCCUGUGGUCCUUAGGGGACAAUGGUGGUGACACAGGGAUGUCCCCAAAUGGUGGCAGUGACAUUAAGGUGCCCCUGUGGCCCAUUGGGGACAAUGGUGACACAGAAAUGUCCCCAAAUGGUGACAAUGACAUUAAGGUGCCCCUGUAGGCCAUCGGGGACAACGAUGGUGACACGGUGA
rnacentral:lncRNA from 1 species